AUUGAACGCUGGCGGCAGGCCUAACACAUGCAAGUCGAACGAGUGGCGGACGGGUGAGUAAUGUCUGGGAAACUGCCUGAUGGAGGGGGAUAACUACUGGAAACGGUAGCUAAUACCGCAUACCAUCAGAUGUGCCCAGAUGGGAUUAGCUUGUUGGUGGGGUAACGGCUCACCAAGGCGACGAUCCCUAGCUGGUCUGAGAGGAUGACCAGCAACACGUGAACGGAGACACGGCCCAGACGCAUACGGGAGGAAGAAGGGGGGAAUAUUGCACAAUGGGCGAAAGCCUGAUGCAGCCAGGCCGCGUGUAUGAAGAAGGCCUGCGGUUUGUAAAGUACUGUCAGCGUGGAGGCUUUACCCGCAGAAUAAGCACCGGCUAACUCCGGGCCAGCAGCCGCGGUAAUAC
rnacentral:rRNA from 1 species